ACCCUCCAAUGAAAGGGAGACAGAGAACACCAAAGCCUUCAAUACACCCCCUCAGAAGACUAUCCCAGAAACCACUGAGGUCAUAUGACCUGAAGCACCAGGGUGAGACCCAUUUUGGAAUGGAAAACACUCCUAAGCCAUUUUCCUCAUGAUUGACGUCUUCCAAGAUGUUUGUAUCAACUUGAAUGAAGGGAGGAUAAUGGAGGUAAACUUGACUGAGUUCAAGUGGUGAAGUUAUUUCUAUAUUUUGAAAUAAGGGCAAAGGAAUCUCAGAGGAAGUCUCUUAAUUAGGGAAUUUAGGCAUGUUUCAUGAAACAUCCUUAGUUCCCCAAGUUCAGUGCCAAGGAAGGCAGCCAUGACCUUCUCCAACCUGUCCUUUUGUGUACCAUCAGAGAUUGAACGUUGGGCUAGGUGAACCAUGGAUCUGACCCAGCACAGUAAAUUUCAUAUUGCUAUGCUAUGUAAAUAAAGUUCUUUCCCUGAAAA